GUAGGUAGUGGCAAUAAUAAGAAAGCUUCGGAUUGGUAGGGAUGCAACUGCCUGAAAAAUACAAGAACUUCGCUUUCGCUUGAAAUGUCAAAGUUCUCCUUGUAUUUUUCAAGUAGUUGUAUCCUUAUCAAUCCGAAGCUUUCAUAAAUACAGGAAGAGAUU